rnacentral:rRNA from 1 species
CAACUUUCAACAACGGAUCUCUUGGCUCUUGCAUCGAUGAAGAACGCAGCGAAAUGCGAUAAGUAAUGUGAAUUGCAGAAUUCCGUGAAUCAUCAAAUCUUUGAACGCAAAUUGCACUCUUUGGGUAUUCCGAAGAGUAUGCUUGUUUGAGGGUUGUU